GUGCUCGCUUUGGCAGCACAUAUACUAAAAUUGGAACGAUACAGAGAAGAUUAGCAUGGCCCCUGCGCAAGGAUGAUACGCAAAUUCGUGAAGCAUUCCAUAUUUUU
rnacentral:snRNA from 1 species